rnacentral:rRNA from 1 species
CGGCGUGCUUAACACAUGCAAGUCGAACGCGCAGCAUUCUGUAGCAAUACAGGGUGUGGGCGCGUGGCGAACGGGUGCGUAACACGUGGAUAACCUUCCUUGAGGUGGGGAAUAACCCAGUGAAAAUUGGGCUAAUACCGCAUAACAUCGCGAUGGCACAUGCUGUUGCGAUCAAAGGCGCAAGUCGCCACAUUAUGGAUCCGCGGCCGAUUAGCUUGUUGGCGAGGUAAUGGCUCACCAAGGCAAUGAUCGGUAGCCGGACUGAGAGGUUGGCCGGCCACACUGGAACUGAGACACGGUCCAGACUCCUACGGGAGGCAGCAGUGGGGAAUCUUGCACAAUGGACGAAAGUCUGAUGCAGCAACGCCGCGUGGGGGAUGAAGCUUCUCGGAGUGUAAACCCCUUUCGACCCGGAAGAAUGCCC